AGUGAACGCUGGCGGUAGGCCUAACACAUGCCAGUCGAACGGCAGCACAGUAAGAGCUUGCUCUUACGGGUGGCGAGUGGCGGACGGGUGAGGAAUACAUCGGAAUCUACUUUUUCGUGGGGGAUAACGUAGGGAAACUUACGCUAAUACCGCAUACGACCUACGGGUGAAAGCAGGGGAUCUUCGGACCUUGCGCGAUUGAAUGAGCCGAUGUCGGAUUAGCUAGUUGGCGGGGUAAAGGCCCACCAAGGCGACGAUCCGUAGCUGGUCUGAGAGGAUGAGCAGCCACACCGGAAGGGAGGCACGGGCGGGAAUCAUACGAGAGGGGGCAGAAGGGAAUAUUGGACAAUCGGCGAGGGUGAAAUAGGGCUAUGGGGUGUAAGGCAUGUUGGUUGGAAAAGAAAAAAGGCAGUUUAACCCCGCUGUUUUUGAAAGGACCCGAAGAAAAAGCCCCGGCUAAAUUCGUG
rnacentral:rRNA from 1 species